rnacentral:rRNA from 7 species
UCUGAUCUCAAAUCAGGUAGGACUACCCGCUGA